ensembl:lincRNA Y54G11A.20 ncRNA
GCUAAUCAACGCAAAUCGAGGCGAAAACCGAUCGCAGAAAGAGGAAAAGUCGAAAAAGCUCGUCGAUCCGGACAAUUCCGCAGAAAUCAGGAAAUCAACAGACGGAAUGGCUCCGGAGUCCAAUGGAGCGCACAAGCAUUCGCCAAUCUGAGAUCCACAAUGCGGCUGGGCUACGGAUGCUGAAUAGAUAAUUAAAUUGCAAUAUUAAAUUUUAAAAACGUUUGGAACAAGACCGCCCGUCCGGAAACUGGCUAUGGGCUCCCCGGGGGAAAAAAAUGGAAGAAUGCACGUUUCUCCGACUCGCUUAGGUACACUCCUCUACAAAAAUUCGUUUUGCGACACGGAAAAGUUGUCAAAAUUGUAGAAUUUAGCUAAAAUUAGACUACUUUUUCGAAAUAUUAAAUCACAUUUAAACUAAUUUUCAAUACGACUUUCUCACAAAAUUACAA